rnacentral:lncRNA from 1 species
AGAGCCCUGAGGAGAGGCAGGGGAUGGCUCAACUGAGUGAGCACCCCUGAAGCUGAUGCUAGAGGCGUGGGAAUGUGGGGGGCUCGGUGAAGGUGAUGACACUCCAUCAGGAGCUCCUGGAUCCAGUGUAGCCUGUGGAUUUCAUCUGAAAGUGAUGGGAGCCCUUGGGAGGGGACAUGAGUGGCAAGGUCCCUUGGCUGCGAGGCUGCCAGGAACACUCAUGUCCCCCAUGGGGCCACUCUCAUCAAGGCCAGGCUGGCGGGAGGAGACCAAGGCCACAUGGGCGGUCAGCCUCCAAGCAGCGGGGCAGCCAGGGGCCCAGGCCAGCUGCUCACCCGGAGGCGGGAGGGCCGUGGUCAGAGGGUGCUGGGUACUGAGUGCUGGGUGCUACCCGAAUACUGCAGAGUCCUCCUGGAGGAGUCUCCUGAGAGCCGAGCGUGCAGUUCUGGGAACUGCCCAGGUGGUGGGCACAGCUGUGCUCCAGGAACUCAUUCCUUGACAGAAAGCACACCCAAGCCCUAAAUCCUUUUUAAAAAAAAGUCGAAAAACACACAGGAGCUGAAAAUGAGAAGAAUUCUGCUGAAACGGCCAGUGCACCGCCAAAGGACGGCCUCCCUGAAGGCCACACGGAGGGCUCUGGGCAAGCCAGCAGGACUCUGCCUGAGGGUGCCCUUGCCUACAGCCACCACCCCUCUGAGCCUGGCACUAUCAGCCCUGCUCACGUGCCAGGUUCCCGGCUGUUGGCAUCAUGAGGCCCACUGUGUUGGAGGGUGAGGUGCCACCUGGCCUUGCCGUCCUGGGAUCCACUGUCUCCCAUGGGCAUAGGGAGACCAGCUUCCAGCAGCAUCGCCCACUGUCAGCAGGGCCACGGAGAGGACACUAGAGCCUGUCACCUCGGGAGUGUCCCCUUGGGCAGCCAGGACCCUGGACCCGCCCUCGCAGACUAAGGAGCAAGCACGACCAGGCUGUGGGGUCCCCGAAGGACACUAAUGAGACGCACCUGUGGAAGUCCAGCGGGCCCUUCAGGCGGGGUCCUGAGUCCUGCCCACGUCCGCCCUCUCUGGGGUUAAGAUGCAGACGGUGGAAGCAGGACGCUGAACCUCUCAGCUCCAGCUUCCUGCGGACGUCCGGCUGCUCCCAUGUCGUUGCUGACUUCUUCCUCUCUGAUGGGGAUGCCCGGAGAGCGGGCUUCCCUGUACAGCCUGACCGGACUGCGGAAACCGCUGGGGCCCAUCUGUCGCCAGGGUGCUGGUGACCUGUGAGCGAGGUCCAGCCCCGCCACCACCGAGGCCUGGGAGAGAGGCAGGCCUGGCUCAGGGUAUUGAGUCGCAGCAUUGAAGGCACAAAAUACACCUCAAGUUUUGUUUUUUAAAGAUUGGCACCUGAGCUAACAACUGUUGCCAAUCUUUUUUUUUCUUCUUCUUCUCCCGCAAGCCCCC